rnacentral:rRNA from 1 species
ACGAACGCUGGCGGCGUGCCUAAUACAUGCAAGUUGAGCGCUGAAGGUUGGUACUUGUACCAACUGGAUGAGCAGCGAACGGGUGAGUAACGCGUGGGGAAUCUGCCUUUGAGCGGGGGACAACAUUUGGAAACGAAUGCUAAUACCGCAUAAAAACUUUAAACACAAGUUUUAAGUUUGAAAGAUGCAAUUGCAUCACUCAAAGAUGAUCCCACGUUGUAUUAGCUAGUUGGUGAGGUAAAGGCUCACCAAGGCGAUGAUACAUAGCCGACCUGAGAGGGUGAUCGGCCACAUUGGGACUGAGACACGGCCCAAACUCCUACGGGAGGCAGCAGUAGGGAAUCUUCGGCAAUGGACGAAAGUCUGACCGAGCAACGCCGCGUGAGUGAAGAAGGUUUUCGGAUCGUAAAACUCUGUUGGUAGAGAAGAACGUUGGUGAGAGUGGAAAGCUCAUCAAGUGACGGUAACUACCCAGAAAGGGACGGCUAACUACGUG